UCCCCUGAGGACUUCGAGAUGUUGAAUGUGAAUUGUGAACAAACCCGGCUUGAUAAGCAUCUCCGUGGUUCUUCAAAUCCCAGCAUCUGUUUCUAACCACAGAACAGAGGCCGCCAGAAAACACCGUCUUCAUCAGUACACUAGUGCUCAACGGUUGUUUUGAGGGACCAUCCCAGGACAGAGGGGGGGCAGUUUAAGCUAGCACUGCAUAGUUUUUGGUGAGCUUAUUUUUUUUUUUAAACCGUAUUUCUAAAAUGAAGUCUUGAUAAAAAAUAAAAGCAAUUGCAAUAGUGGCAAAACAACGUGUGGAACUUUGUAAGGGAACACCCGGCGUACUUAAGGCUGACUUGGGCUUUGCAUUUCAGGAUAACCACAAUGCAACUUCUUCAGCUGCAACGAGAGUGAUGCGGAGCGUUUCUGAGCAGGCAUUGUUUCAGAUUUAUGCUUUUUUUCUGAUGGUGGAAAACAAAAGGAAAAAAUUGUGGGUGGAUUAAAAGAAACGUACACACGGCAACAACAACAGAACAUGCCAUCAGGAAAAUAAAAAGGAGGCAAGGAUUAAGCGCCACGACAGAACACGACUUGAAAAUUGAUGCAGGACAACAGACUGGAGUUUUUUAACAACAGACUGAAUGAGCGAGAGGGAUCUACAGAGCAUGUGUAAAUGGGUCAUUCUACUCACCUUCUGCCUGAUAACGUUAGGGGGGAGGCUAACACUGGCAUCAUCCCACAGAAGCCACACAGCUCACGUCAAAGCCGGAACCUGUGAGGUCAUCGCUGCCCACCGAUGCUGCAACAGAAACAAGAUCGAGGAGAGAUCUCAGACCGUGAAGUGUUCCUGCUUCCCAGGCCAGGUGGCUGGGACAACAAGGGCUGCUCCUUCCUGCGUCGACGCCUCAAUAGUCAUCCAGAAGUGGUGGUGCCAAAUGCAGCCAUGCCUGGAAGCAGAGGAGUGUAAAGUUUUGCCGGAUCAAACUGGGUGGAGCUGCAGUACAGGAAACAAAGUCAAAACAACCAAGCUGAUUAUGCCCCGUGGAGGAUGAAUAAUAUCCCCAGCCACGGGGAUAUAGUGGAGGAGCCCAUACUUCAAACAACGAAGGUCACGCGAUAGCCCUACAUCUGAUCCGACUCACAAAAUGAAGGACAGCGUUUUUAUACACUGACCAGCUGAAACAGACACAUAGGCCUACCUGUUUGGCGGACACCAGCAAUUGGAAACUUGCGCAGUGCAUUAUGCAAAAAAAAAAAAAAAAAAAAAAUCAUGACCAGAUUACCACUGAGGAAUUCGCUGGGACAAGAAGAACUCUCGCAAGGGAACACUGGGUACGUGUGAAACGAGGAAUUGAACGCUUCAGGACCUGUCUUAAAUACUUGCUAGACAUGUUGCGCAGCCACCAAUGGGCUUUUGAGCACUUUGGGGGGUUGUUGGUUUAAUCUGGAGGAUUGUUCCUGAAGACGCACUGCAGCUGAUUGCUUUGAACAUUACAGAGCUGUAUUAAACAGCACGGACUGUUCCUAUAGGUGUCUGCUAUGUGAUAAUACAUCAUUUGCCCAAGCGCUUAUUUAUAGAGUACAGUCGCUCCUUAUAUUUGACAGGGUCGGAACGUUUUUCAAUUAGCGGUUGUAGGCUGUCACACACUUUCUUUUGUUUGUUUGUUUGUUGGCUUUGUAAAAUAUAACCAUGACAGUAUUGUCUCGCAUGAUAGGGGGGGAAGGGAGUGGGGGGGCUGAAUUGAAGUCCUUUUUCUGAUGCCCAGUUUAAUUACAUGCCCCGCCCCCCACCCCCCGUAUCUCUUUAAGGGCGGUUGUCCACAGGCAGAGAGAGGAACAAAGCAGAAGCAGUGAAUCGUUUCUAAUCAACAAGUAAAGUGAUUGGCUUCAUUUAAAUACAUUUAAUUGCAUCGUAAAAGCAUGGCUUCAAAGCGUACUGCUUGACGUUUUACAUGGUGAACAAUUUCUAUCAAAAUAGUGCGACUCCAUCAUUAUGGAGAACUUGCAGUCGCCCACACUGUUUUUCGUUUAAUGCUGUAUUUCAGUUUCUAUUUAUUUAAUAUACUGCUUCACACAGUCCCGCCCCGUCAGACACAUCCAGCAAAUCAGCGAGCUGUAUCAAUCUGAUUGACAGAAACAAUCCUCGCACGAUCUCCCCGGGCAGGUGUGUGCUUUAGGUAACCAGUAAGCAAAGUAAUUAAUUUCAAUUAGCACACAAGUUCCCACAAUUCCCACUCACUUUACUUGUUCAAAAUCCAUUUAUUUGUGGUUUAGAGAUGAGUUAAAAAAACCUGACCUGUCUUAAAGUGUCCAGUCAUUAGGAAGCCAGGUGGCAGCUGAUCCUUCUUAGUUACAGAUGAUUGUCAGAAAAACACAAUAGCUGCCAAUAAUGCGAUUAUCAACAAUCAUUUUAAAGUGCAGUACAUAGCUUUGUGUAUUGGUCAGUCAUUGCUGGAGAAUAUUAUUACAUUUUUUAUCCCCUGAAAUAGGUACACCCAGCAGCAUGCAGUUUAUUCAGUAGAGCAUGUGGCUUUUCUGGCCAGUGCUGACUUCAUUCUGUAGCUGGCAUUGUUAAGACAGAAGAGGUUUUUUUAAGGCUUCUUUGUUAAGGUUUUAAUAUAAUUUGCAUUCCAACAGAGAAACCCACUUGGUUUGUUUAGACACCUGUCAAAAAGCUGACUUUUAAAAGGCAAGGGUAAUGAUAUUAGCAUAAUGUCAUUUGCAAAUGAGCCUGUGCUGCUAAUUUACAAUUAGACUUCAUCUCAGAUUUAAUUAAAAAGGGAGAUGCUGUCCGCCUGGUAAACUCGAUGUCAGAAAAGCACUUACUGGGUUUCAAUUCAAAAGCAUGGACACGCUUUCCUGUUGUGAACAAGGGUUUUACCAAUAUGCGAUUAGGACAUUCAUUUUAACAUCUUUAUCUGCCAAACUAAGAGACGUUAAAGAAUUCUCACAGGAGACCAAUAAUCUUGUCAAGAUAUGUGUUAUUAAAAUAUUUAAAGUUAGAACAAAUAACAUGUGCAAAAUACAUUUCUCACCGAUGUCUUUACAGUUGUUUCUUUGUUUCUGUUUUUAAUCACAUCCUAGAUGCUUAUUUGUAAAACGUUUGAGCUCUGCAAGGUCCAUAGCAUUAUUAUGCUGUUUAUUAAAGACCAUGACUUGUAUUUCAAUCCCCACAAGGGUUUUAUGAGCCAUCACCUUCAGCACCUGUGCAAUCGUCCCUGUUGAUAAUUGCUUUGUGAUGGACUAGUUGAGUCAAUUGGAUUUACUAACCAGAUGCAAUGAGUCUGAAGCUUGUGGGGGAACUGGCAGUGCUCUUUUGUAGAGAAAAUAUUGAACUGUGUUGGGCUCAAACGUUUUCGUUUCAAGGAUGUAACGGAAACAAAACAAGAAUUGGAAAACAAAUAAGAUGGUACGCAGGUGAGAGAAUUAUUGAACGUUGCACACCCAGUUUAUUCUACCUUUAAAAUAACUACCCUAAAGCACGGCCCGUCUCUCUGUUCUGAAGCCCUGAGUGUUUGUAUGAUGUGAACACAGGUAUGCAAGUCAAUUAUUUAUAAUUCAGAUUCAGAUGGUCUCUUUGGGGUACAUAACCACAUCCUGUGAUAUUGGCUCCAAGCCCAAAAGGAAGUGGUUUAAACAGCUGUUUAAAGUUUGAAUCUAUAACCCUUUCCCAGUGUGGAGUGCACUCAGUUCUGCUGUGUUAUAUAUUAGUAUUAAGUGUAAGUAUCGUUAGUUGAUACAAUCUUCUUCCGGGGAUUGUUGGUUGCUGUGCAGUGAACGCUUGCCCACAUGCUGAAACAGCUGUUUAACAGAAAUCUGGUUUUACGCCCAAAAUGAACGGAAAUGUAAUUCUGGAAUACUCCCCUGAUCCAGGGAUCCAGGGAUCCAGACAGAGAGUUUACUGCUCCACACAACUCUUCUACUUGUCCUGUUUUCUUUAUUAAUAUCAAAUUAGGAAAAGCGUGUUUUUUGGGGGGUUUUUGGAAUGUGCGUGUUUGUGGUGAGCGAGGCAUCAUAGAAAACCAUUAUUUCAAAUGUUGUAUUCCUGGUGCAGUAUUUGUCUUUCUUUUGUAAAAAUGAAAGAAGCUACAUGCUUACAGUGUACUGAGCAGAAUUACAGAACAACAACAGCUGCUUUCUGUUUCUUUCAAACUUGGGUUUCUAGCGCUAGUUGUUGCAAAUUUAAACAUUAUGCUAAAAAUGUUUUUUAAAAUGUAGAACCAGCAGCCCUCAUGUUGUAAAAUGGAUAUCUGAAGAAGCUUUACCCAGGCUGCUGUGUUGUCCUGUUCUCAGCUGGUUGAUGCAGUGAAGUAUGAGGGCUGCCUUUGUGUACUUCCCCUGGUAAACAUUGAAAUCAACGUGAAACUGCUCCAAAUCUCAGACCCAGUAUAUACCCUGACUGCCCGCAAAAGGAAGAGCUGUAUUUGUAAGUACAAUUGUAAAUAAAAUAUUUUCUACUUCUUUCAGUUAACGUAACACAAUAAAAUAUUGAGUGGUAAAACAUGUGUUGUGCUAUUGUGGAUUUUUCUCCCCCACCCCGCAGUUUGCUUGCAUUAGGUUUUGUGUUCCUCAAGCCACAGGGGAGCUUUGGAUGCUUGCUGUGACCUCCUGCUGACGCUGGCUUAGUUCAGAAGGCUCUGUCUGUUUCAUGAUUACCUCUUCAUGCUACGGGUGAUGUUAGUGCAUCGAAGGGACUGCCUGCAAACAAAGAGGAGCUUGGGAAAGGGGGUGUUUGAACUUGUGUCAGCAACAGCCAGGUGAGUGGCAAACAGAAAUGCGGUGAGCCGGCAGUGGCAUCUACUUUUAGACAAACUGCACAGCCAACUAGUUCUGGCUUAUAUUAAAAUGCAGCGCAUUUAACAGGCAGUGCUGUGUGAUGAACCCUAACCCUAACCUUUUUCUGAUACAAUUGUGUACUUACAUAUAUCAUGCGAAAAGAUGUACACAUUAAGUA